UGGGGAAUAUUAGGCAAUGGGGCGAAAGCCUGACCUAGCAACGCCGCGUGAGGGAAGAAGGUCUUCGGAUUGUAAACCUCUGUCCUUGGUGAAGAACACAAUGACAUUAGCCAAGGGAGAAAGCUCCGGCUAACUACGUGCCGGCAGCCGCGGUAAUACGUAGGUGGCAAGCGUUAUCCGGAAUUACUGGGUGUAAAGGGAGCGCAGGCGGGAUAGCAAGUCAGCUGUGAAAACUAUGGGCUCAACCCAUAAACUGCAGUUGAAACUGUUAUUCUUGAGUGGAGUAGAGGCAAGCGGAAUUCCGAGUGUAGCGGUGAAAUGCGUAGAUAUUCGGAGGAACACCAGUGGCGAAGGCGGCUUGCUGGGCUCUAACUGACGCUGAGGCUCGAAAGUGUGGGGAGCAAACA
rnacentral:rRNA from 1 species